rnacentral:sRNA from 1 species
CAUUAGUUCAAUUGCGUUAACGAUAGUAGCGACAUCCUUUUUUGUUUUUCUCAAAAAAGAUAUAGCGGAUAGCGUGUUAAAAC